CCCUUAGAUGUUCUGGGCCGCACGCGCGCUACAAUGAUGAAUUCAACGAGUUUAUAACCUUGGUUGAAAAGCCUGGGUAAUCUUUUGAACUUUCGUCGUGAUGGGGCUAGACCCUUGCAAUUAUUGAUCUCCAACGAGGAAUUCCUAGUAAACGCAAGUCAUCAGCUUGCAUUGAUUACGUCCCUGCCCUUUGUACACACCGCCCGUCGCACCUACCGAUUGAAUGGUCCGGUGAAAUCUUCGGAUUGAGACUUUGAUUUCUUCACGGAAAACGCUGUUUUAAAAAGUUGAUUAAACCUUACCAUUUAGAGGAAGGUGAAGUCGUAACA
rnacentral:rRNA from 1 species